UACGUAGGGGGCAAGCGUUGUCCGGAUUUAUUGGGCGUAAAGAGCGUGUAGGCGGCCAGACAGGUCAGCUGUGAAAACUCGAGGCUCAACCUCGAGACGUCGGUUGAAACCGUCUGGCUAGAGUCCGGAAGAGGAGAGUGGAAUUCCCGGUGAUAGCGGUGAAAUGCGCAGAUAUCAGGAAGAACACCCGUGGCUAAGGCGGCUCUCUAGUACGGUACUGACGCUGAGACGCGAAAGCGUGGGGAGCGAACAGG
rnacentral:rRNA from 1 species